AUUACAGGAGCCAAGAAAGGGCUCUUAUAAAGCCCUAAAACUCACAAGAAAUCCAACAAAAAUCGAAGAUAGAACAAGCUAAAAAUUGGGGCUUUUAAAAAUUUUGUGAUCACCCAAGCUAGGAGAUUGCAAGGUAUGUUGAAUUUUGUUAUUUGGUGAAAUUUUGAAAUUUUGAUUAACAUGCAAGAACGAAAUUCUGGUAUGAGUGAUGAAUGUUCUAGUGAAAUUGAUAUGAGUAUGAGUCUAGGAACAAACCCUAGAUGAGAACUUGAUGAAUUAGUGUCAUAAAUUAGAGAUUGAAUGAUUACCCAUAUAUGUGUUAAGUGGGUUUUUAUGAUAUUAUGAUGAACACUUGAAAAGUGAUGGUAAAUCUGAGAAAAAUUGAUGUUAUGAUGCAAGAUUUGAUAUUGUUCAUGAGUGCUAGACAUAAGGGUUUGAUUUAAUGAUUGAAACUUGGUUAAAAAUAUUAGCCAUGAACUAAAUAGAAGAGGUAUAAAAAUCAUGCCCAUAAGGUGCUCGUUAAAAUGCCUAAGUGAAUCGUGUUGUCUACUAGUUUGUAUGUAGAGCUUGAUUUGAUGAUUUCAUGAGUAGUAGGUUUAUGACAAAUCUUUGAUUUGUAUGAAAUUAAACCUGAUAGUGUAUGAGAAUCACCAAAUAGGACUUGAAUAUAUGUUAUUUUUAGUUCUAGUUCUUAAAUUGACAAAGAUGAAGUUGAGAAGAUGGUAAAAUUAGGAUUCAUAUGAUGACUUCUUGAAAUAGAUUAUGUUUUUGACAUCUCUUAGCCUACAAUCAUUGUGUUAUAGGUUUUUAACCAUUACCAAGAGUUUAAUAAGGGUUUUAGCCAUGGAAAUGGGUUGCAUUUGAUGGUUUGGGUCGAAUUUGAAAGGACCCUCAACAUGAUUUCCGUAGCUUUUUAUAUGGAUUUUGACUAAUUUUAAAAAAAUCAUAUAAAAUCAACCGUUUAUCCGAUUUGGGUGUUCUAUACCUUUUCAGAAAGCUUAUGGAGUAAAUUUUUACUGUUUUCAAUCAUAAGAAACAAAUGUGGUUGUUAAAUAGGCCAAAAAAAGUGAAUUAAAACUGUUGUUCAGAAACCUUGAAAGCUGUUUGAAAAAUGAAAAUAUAGUUGCUGUGCUGAUUUUAUAAAAAUCAUAGAAAAUUCGUUAAAAGGUGUACCUUAUAUGCUUGCGAAGGUAUUGAAGUUUUCUACGAUCCAUCUUUGAACACGUUAAUCUAGUUCGGACUUUGAAUGGGUCAUAAUGGUCAAUUACAGCAGCUGUAUAGAAAAUCGCUGCACAUUAAUAAUGUCAUUAUUAAUCCAGAAAAGACAUAUGAUUGCGUAUACUUGAUUUAGUCACGAACUAUUUAUUGUUAGGAACAAAUAACACUUUAUGUGACAUGCUUAAAGUGUUCAAAAUCACUUACGAACUAGUUCGUAUAAGUAACUUGACUAACGGGUCAAACGGUUAGUGAAUGGAAAGAGUUAUGGAAAAAAAAUAGGUAGGAGCUUGGAAAUGAACGGGUCAAAUGGAUACAAGUUCAAGUAUGAAGCUCGCAAGGAUGCAAGGUUGCAGAAACAAACCUGCUGGAAAAUGGUGACCCUCGCGCCACGCGAAGGACCAAGAUGGUUGGGGCGCGACACGCGACUACAGUCGCAGCACGCGACAGAAUUAGGAAACCCUGUCGCGGCACAUGACAGGGGUAAAUGAUAUCGGCUAUCCGGAUGAAGUCAAGCGCCUAACAAGAACCGAACACACGAUAAAUGAAGCUUCCGCAUUUGAGUUUAAACCUUGUUUUCAAAAGUGAACUAUGUAAACACUUAUAACAUGGUUGUUGGAACGUUUUAAACAUAUCUGAAUAUUUUGAUGUAAAAGUUUUUGUUG